rnacentral:misc_RNA from 1 species
AAACAAAAUACUUUUCUAUCUUAUGAUUGAUUUUCAUGGCAAUGGUCUUCCAUAAAUGUUGCCUUCGCCUCUGUAUGCAUUAUUGCAAUGGGUACAAGGACUUUAUAUUGCAUUAACCAGAAACAUUUUAUGCUGUUAAAAGUAGGUGGUUUAUAUCAUAUGUAAUUUUUCUUUUUUCACUUUUUUCUGCAUUUAUCUUUUCUUUCUGGAGAUAGAGUAUGCCAUUCUAUUUCCACUCUGAUGAUUACUUUUGUGGGGUACCCAUUAUUUUCUUCUUUUUUUUUCUUUCACUCAUAUAAGACUUG